AGCAGCCGCGGUAAUUCCAGCUCCAAUAGCGUAUAUUAAAGUUGUUGUGGUUAAAAAGCUCGUAGUUGAACCUUGGGCCUGGCUGGCCGGUCCGCCUCACCGCGUGUACUGGUCCGGCCGGGCCUUUCCCUCUGUGGAACCCCCAUGCCCCUUCACUGGGUGUGGCGGGGAAACAGGACUUUUACUUUGAAAAAAUUAGAGUGCUCCAGGCAGGCCUAUGCUCGAAUACAUUAGCAUGGAAUAAUAGAAUAGGACGUGUGGUUCUAUUUUGUUGGUUUCUAGGACCGCCGUAAUGAUUAAUAGGGACAGUCGGGGGCAUCAGUAUUCAAUUGUCAGAGGUGAAAUUCUUGGAUUUAUUGAAGACUAACUACUGCGAAAGCAUUUGCCAAGGAUGUUUUCAUUAAUCAGGAACGAAAGUUAGGGGAUCGAAGACGAUCAGAUACCGUCGUAGUCUUAACCAUAAACUAUGCCGACUAGGGAUCGGACGAUGUUAUUUUUUGACUCGUUCGGCACCUUACGG
rnacentral:misc_RNA from 1 species